CUUCGCCUACUACACAUCAUGAACUAGUUUCCACUCAGCGUGCUAUCAUGCCAUGGAGCGCUUUUAAUCACAUGAUCAUGUAUAAUUUAACAAAAGAUAUAUAGGCUUUAUAUUGCUUAUGUACUGAUCCGAUUCUUACCUCCAGACCUGAGCUAGCUGGAGGAUGUGCACGAUGCUGUGGAAGAGCCAGGCGCAGGCUCUGCAGCAGCGGGUCCGGGCGCCGCUCUCCGCGGUGCUGAAGCGCCUCUGAGCUCCCGACGCCGCCACCACGGCUGCCGCAGCGGAACCAGCGCUGCUCGACUCCGAGUAGUCAUACGCGAACCAGCGGAAGCUCAGCACCUGCACCACCACAGACGGCACGACCACGAAGACGAGCGUGAGCGCGAACCAGCGGUAGUCCCGUCGCAGAUAGACCCCCUCCAGGAACAACAGCCUUCAGGCCAGACAGAUGUUUGAAACAGGCACAAAAGCCUCAAGUCUUUGGUCCUAGACUACACUGUGCACAGCAGAAGAGCACUAGUAGAAGAGCACUCCUGUUUUAGAAAUGUCGUGGAAAAUGUGGUGCAUGCCAAGCAAGCUGCUGCGAGAGCUUUUCUGAUUAUUCUGAAAUCUGCCAGAAGAUGUCACAUGUACCUGGGACAUGGAUGUGGAUGUGGCCAGGGAGUCCUUGCGCCCUCCAGCCAUAUCCUGAGGCGCUGUCAACUCGCCCACCUCCUAGAUCAUCUCAGUAUCUCUGAGACUGUUGAUGCUUCCACUCAAACCAUGCCUGAGCCUGCACCUUCCCAUGGUUCUCCAGGCCCUACCAAUGGUUUCACUGAAGUCAUAGAUCUCACUGGGUCACCUGCACCUCCCCUCUCCUACCAAUCAUCUGGUUACACGCCAACCUCUCCAACUUCUCUAACCUCCCCUGCCCGUCUCUCAGGCCCUAGGUGCGGGUGCCCUCCCUGUGCCCCGCACAUGGCUGAUAAUUAAGCUGAGCUUAAUGGGACAUUAAGCUAAGCUUAAUUAUACUUGCUUGUUUUAUAUCUGCAAAAAAA